GGGUGCAAUCAUACCAAUAUGAAUGCAUCGGAUCCCAUCGGAAUUCCGCAAUGAAACGUGUUUGGGCGAGAGUAGUACUAAGAUGGGGACUUCAUAGGAAGUCCUCAGAUUGCACCCA
rnacentral:rRNA from 1 species